AUCAUCGUCAUUAGCCUUCUCUUUCGUUCGCAACCACUUGAAACCCUUCACUCGUUGAGUUUAGAAGCUGGGGGAGAUGUUCUGCGCAUGCGCACAGGGCCUCCUCUUUGACGAAGGGCCUGCCGGCGUUUACCUCAGGUGAAGACGCGAAGGGAGAGAGAGCGGCUCUUGCCACCCGAGGCCUCUUCGUCGGGGGUCAUUAAUAAAGAUGUUGAACAGAACCAGGCCCAGGAUGGAACCCUACAGCACUCCACUCGUCACUUCCUCUGAGGAUGCCUGCCACAGAUGUGGGCGAAACGUUAGGAGAGAAUGCUUCUUGAACAUGGCCAUACAGCCCAGAAAAUGCACAACAACCCGAACGUUAAAUGAAUUGAACUUUUGGUUUACCCGUACACUGUUUUUGUUCUGGCAUAUGUAACCAGAAAUGAAACAAAAAUAUUGUUUUGCAUUUUCUGUCAUUUGUUUCAAUAUGGUACUUUUUAACUCGCUUCCCUUUAUGCUUUUGUUUGUUCUUCUAAGCAUUACAUAUUGGGGAUUGGGGCUUCUCACAAGAAAUAAUAACAUUAGUAUCUUAUGCGUAGGUUUCAGAAAGUUUCCCAUAUUGAGUCUUAGAUAAUUUCCGAAGUUAGUUACAUUAGUCAGUUCAUGCUGAAAUUCAGAAGAUAUGCAUUUGACCAACUUAAAAACUUCUGGUAAGGAGUGACAGUAAGCAUUUGCAUGCUUACUGUCACUCCUUGGAAACCAUGUACAACAAUGUUAUUUAAACCAAGGUGAAAAUACUCCUCUCGCAUCAACAUUUCUUUAAGGGAAGUUUCUGAGAUGUAAGAUGCUAGUAUGCAUGGAACUUUGUAAAUAUGCUUUAGAGAUUAUGUUGAUAAAAUGCCCAGGACCCAGCACUGUCACGUACCUAAUGAAUGAGUAUGUGAGGAGUGGAGAGGAAGGAUACCACCUGGGGUGCUUUUGAAGGUCUCUUCUAGAAAGAAGCUCUUAUGCUUCCAAAGAAAGGUCAAGUGUAAACGUUAUAUUCAGAGAUUUCUUUUGUUCCUUGUUCUUUGUUUCUUUCAAAAGCUAAAGAAGUCCAAGUUAUUCAAGAGCCAGUAAUGUCUUGGAUGUUUGCCUAAACACGCUCCUAUUUCCCAUCUCCUCUUCCAUCCUUUCCAAGUUACCUAACUGCAAUAUUGCAGGGUAUGCCACUCUACCACCAUUUCAACUUUCACAGUUUAUCCAUCCAGUGUAUUUUUCUUCUUUUAUGAGACAUGAAAUGCUAGUCCUCGGUCUCUAGAGAACUGGGCUACCAAUUUUUCAUAGCAGCCUAGAAAUAACAUUUUACACUUAAUCUGUAUACAAAUUAUGAACAAACCAUGGGCUUUGUGUGUAGCCUAUUAGAAAAUCAAUUGAUGAAGUUUAUCUCUUUCCACAAUCUGCAGGAACAAAUGUUCAAAUUAAAUUCUCCAUAGUAUAGUAAAACUAAAACAGAAA